CGCCACCCAACUUAGGGUUAUCCCAUCGUGUGGGCCCCCUCUCUGUGAAAUACUUACGUCAUGCGGGUUGACUCUUCGGGCGAUGUCUUACUCAGGCGAUGUCUUACUUAGGCGACGUCUCUUCUCGGCGACGUCUUACUUCUGCGCGAUGCUUCUCUUGGGCGAUGGGCGAUGAUCCGUCUUGGUGGUGACACAUCUCGGCGAUAACCGAUUAUUUAUACUGCAGACCGCCGC
rnacentral:lncRNA from 1 species